rnacentral:rRNA from 1 species
AUUGAACGCUGGCGGCAUGCCUUACACAUGCAAGUCGAACGGUAGAAGGAGCAUUCCUUCGAGAGUGGCGAACGGGUGAGUAAUACAUCGGAACGUACCUGGUAGUGGGGGAUAGCCCGGCGAAAGCCGGAUUAAUACCGCAUACGACCUACGGGUGAAAGGGGGGGAUCGCAAGACCUCUCGCUAUUGGAGCGGCCGAUGUCAGAUUAGGUAGUUGGUGGGGUAAAAGCCUACCAAGCCUGUGAUCUGUAGCUGGUCUGAGAGGACGACCAGCCACACUGGGACUGAGACACGGCCCAGACUCCUACGGGAGGCAGCAGUGGGGAAUUUUGGACAAUGGGCGCAAGCCUGAUCCAGCAAUGCCGCGUGCGGGAAGAAGGCCUUCGGUUGUAAACCGACUUUGUCUAGGAAGAAAGUACUUCUGGUUAAGUACCUCGGGGGAGUGACGGUACCUGAAGAAUAAGCACCGGCGUAACUAACGUGCCAG